rnacentral:rRNA from 1 species
GUGAGGAAUAUCGGUCAAUGGGCGAGAGCCUGAACCAGCCAAGUCGCGUGAAGGAUGAAGGUUUUAUGAAUUGUAAACUUCUUUUGCAGGGGAAUAAAGUACGGUACGUGUACCGUUUUGUAUGUACUCUGCGAAUAAGGAUCGGCUAACUCCGUGCCAGCAGCCGCGGUAAUACGGAGGAUCCAAGCGUUAUCCGGAUUUAUUGGGUUUAAAGGGUGCGCAGGCGGGUUGAUAAGUCAGCGGUGAAAGUUUGCAGCUUAACUGUAAAAUUGCCGUUGAAACUGUCGAUCUUGAGUGCAAAUGAGGUAAGCGGAAUGUGUUGUGUAGCGGUGAAAUGCUUAGAUAUAACACAGAACACCGAUUGCGAAGGCAGCUUACUGGGAUGCAACUGACGCUCAUGCACGAAAGCGUGGGGAUCAAACAGGAUUAGAUACCCGGGUAGUCC